CGCCCCCUGUUUACUUCCUUAGGAAAGUAUUUAAGAAGCGAGCAGUGCUGCUCGCUGCGUCUUCUGCCCGUGGUAUUCACGCAGCGGUGGCUUCCAGGACGGUGCUGUCAAGUGGGAACGUUGACAUCGCAGGUUCUUCUGGCGGUGACCCCAUCCCUCCGAGCCUGCACAGACUUGUACAGCUGAGGAGCGCAGUGCCCCUUAUUCAUCAAGGGGCCCACCUUGCCAGCAGUCUGCAUAGUCAGCGUUUGCAGCGUCACGACAUUUCAUCGAUGGUCCUACCAACAGUCGGGAGAAGCUUCGCCCGAAGACGCUCCAGCAGUCAUCCAGUGUGGCCGCCGGAUUGCCCCCCGACUUAUACGCUGACCCUCGUGACAGUGAAGAUGCUCCUAGACCAUCCUGAUUUGCCGGAUAUCUGACUCUUUUUGUGGUGAGAGUUGUGGGGCGAUUAUGAAGGACUGUUAUUGUCAUCGAUACGGAUGUAGCACCCCUGUCACGAGUGUUGACACGUCCUCUGUUUACUUGCUUGGGAAGGGAUUUCUUGUGCUGUUCACGGAGCGGUGGCUUCCGGACUGUGCUGUGGGAGCGUUGACAUGUAAGAAAAUAAACUUGUUCUUUGUGUGUUCGCUGC